rnacentral:rRNA from 1 species
GAUGAACGCUAGCGGCAGGCCUAAUACAUGCAAGUCGAGGGGUAGAAGAGAGCUUGCUUUCUUUGAGACCGGCGCACGGGUGCGUAACGCGUAUGCAACCUACCUUGAUCAGGGGGAUAGCCCGAAGAAAUUCGGAUUAACACCGCAUAAGAACACAGAGUGGCAUCACUUAGUGUUUAAAUAUUUAUAGGAUCAAGAUGGGCAUGCGUGACAUUAGCUAGUUGGUGAGGUAACGGCUCACCAAGGCGACGAUGUCUAGGGGAUCUGAGAGGAUGACCCCCCACACUGGUACUGAGACACGGACCAGACUCCUACGGGAGGCAGCAGUAAGGAAUAUUGGUCAAUGGAGGCAACUCUGAACCAGCCAUGCCGCGUGCAGGAAGACGGCCCUAUGGGUUGUAAACUGCUUUUAUACGGGAAUAAACCCCUUUACGUGUAAAGGGUUGAAUGUACUGUAAGAAUAAGGAUCGGCUAACUCCGUGCCAGCCGCCGCGGUAAGAC